rnacentral:rRNA from 1 species
AUUGAACGCUGGCGGCAUGCCUUACACAUGCAAGUCGAACGGUAACGCGGGGGCAACCCUGGCGACGAGUGGCGAACGGGUGAGUAAUACAUCGGAACGUACCCAGUAGUGGGGGAGUAGCUCGGCGAAAGCCGGAUUAAUACCGCAUACGACCUAUGGGUGAAAGCGGGGGAUCGCAAGACCUCGCGCUAUUGGAGCGGCCGAUGUCGGAUUAGCUAGUUGGUGAGGUAAAGGCNCACCAAGGCUACGAUCCGUAGCUGGUCUGAGAGGACGACCAGCCACACUGGGACUGAGACACGGCCCAGACUCCUACGGGAGGCAGCAGUGGGGAAUUUUGGACAAUGGGCGAAAGCCUGAUCCAGCCAUGCCGCGUGUGUGAAGAAGGCC